UACGUAGGCAGCGAGCGUUUGUUCGGAGUUACUGGGCGUAAAGAGUGCGUAGGCGGUUUUCUAAGUUUGGUGUGAAAUCUCCCGGCUCAACUGGGAGGGUGCGCCGAAGACUGGAAGGCUUGAGUAUGGGAGAGGUAAGCGGAAUUCCUGGUGUAGCGGUGAAAUGCGUAGAUAUCAGGAGGAACACCUGCGGUGUAGACGGCUUACUGGACCAUAACUGACGCUGAGGCACGAAAGCGUGGGUAGCAAACAGG
rnacentral:rRNA from 1 species